GACGAACGCUGGCGGCGUGCCUAAUACAUGCAAGUUGGGCGCUGAAGGUUGGUACUUGUACCAACUGGAUGAGCAGCGAACGGGUGAGUAACGCGUGGGGAAUCUGCCUUUGAGCGGGGGACAACAUUUGGAAACGAAUGCUAAUACCGCAUAAAAACUUUAAACACAAGUUUUAAGUUUGAAAGAUGCAAUUGCAUCACUCAAAGAUGAUCCCGCGUUGUAUUAGCUAGUUGGUGAGGUAAAGGCUCACCAAGGCGAUGAUACAUAGCCGACCUGAGAGGGUGAUCGGCCACAUUGGGACUGAGACACGGCCCAAACUCCUACGGGAGGCAGCAGUAGGGAAUCUUCGGCAAUGGACGAAAGUCUGACCGAGCAACGCCGCGUGAGUGAAGAAGGUUUUCGGAUCGUAAAACUCUGUUGGUAGAGAAGAACGUUGGUGAGAGUGGAAAGCUCAUCAAGUGACGGUAACUACCCAGAAAGGGACGGCGAACUACGU
rnacentral:rRNA from 1 species